rnacentral:rRNA from 1 species
CCUACGGGUGGCAGCAGUGAGGAAUAUUGGUCAAUGGACGAGAGUCUGAACCAGCCAAGUAGCGUGAAGGAUGACUGCCCUAUGGGUUGUAAACUUCUUUUAUAAAGGAAUAAAACGAGGCACGUGUGCCUUUUUGCAUGUACUUUAUGAAUAAGGAUCGGCUAACUCCGUGCCAGCAGCCGCGGUAAUACGGAGGAUCCGAGCGUUAUCCGGAUUUAUUGGGUUUAAAGGGAGCGUAGAUGGGUUGUUAAGUCAGUUGUGUAAGUUUGCGGCUCAACCGUAAAAUUGCAAUUGAUACUGGCAGUCUUGAGUACAGUUGAGGUAGGCGGAAUUCGUGGUGUAGCGGUGAAAUGCUUAGAUAUCAUGAAGAACCCCGGUGGCGAAGGCAGCUUACUAAACUGUGACUGACAUUGAUGCUCGAAAGUGUGGGGAUCAAACAGGAUUAGAUACCCUUGUAGUC